UACGGAGGGUGCAAGCAUUAAUCGGAUUCAUUGGGCGUAAAGGGCGCGUAGGCGGACUUGUAAGUUAGAUGUGAAAUACCGAAGCUCAACUUCGGUGCUGCAUUUAAAACUGCAAGACUUGAGGACUGACGGAGAAAAUGGAAUUCCACAUGUAGCGGUGAAAUGCGUAGAUAUGUGGAAGAACACCUGUGGCGAAAGCGGUUUUCUAGUUAGUACCUGACGCUGAGGCGCGAGAGCAAGGGGAGCAAACAGG
rnacentral:rRNA from 1 species